rnacentral:rRNA from 1 species
GGAUGAACGCUGACAGAAUGCUUAACACAUGCAAGUCUACUUGAUCCUCGGGUGAAGGUGGCGGACGGGUGAGUAACGCGUAAAGAACUGCCUUACAGACUGGGACAACAUUUGGAAACGAAUGCUAAUACCGGAUAUUAUGAUUGGGUCGCAUGAUCUGGUUAUGAAAGCUAUAUGCGCUGUGAGAGAGCUUUGCGUCCCAUUAGUUAGUUGGUGAGGUAACGGCUCACCAAGACGAUGAUGGGUAGCCGGCCUGAGAGGGUGAACGGCCACAAGGGACUGAGACACGGCCCUUACUCCUACGGGAGGCAGCAGGUGGGGAAUAUCGGACAAUGGAACCAAAAGUCUGAUCCAGCAAUUUCCUGUGUGCACGAUGUAAGUUUUUCGGAAUGUAAAGUGCUUUCAGUUGGGAAGAAGUCAGUGACGGUACCAACAGAAGAAGCGACGGCUAAAUACGUGCCAGCAGCAGC